UGAGUGACGCGAGGAGGAACGGAUCCGUUGCCAGCCUACAGCCGCCCGUCGUCUUCACGCAAGGCGAACGCUCUUGCCCUCUCGUUCUAACCGCCGCACCUCUCCUUCCUCAUCCUCGCGCCCAUCAGCUGCUCGCUCGCGUGCUCCUGAGAGAGACGAUGACCGAUGUCCCUCGGCGUCCUCCCUCCUCCUCCUCCUCCUCCGACGCCAAUUACUUCGCCGCCGCAAGAGCCCUUUACGACGAGGGAGACGAUGCCGCGAGCAACGAUGACGGUAGAGAUGAUCGCGAAGGUCGUGGAAAGACGGGGGGUGGAGUGUCAUUCGAUCUUCGUGUCCGUGUGCCCCGCCAUGCGUGUAGGCUUUAUCGAAAUGAUUCCUCUUUUCUUUAACGAUCCGGUUUCCUCCCGAUGUUAACCGAGCAUCUUGAAUUGGCCGCCGCGUGUGAAUAUGUUUCCAUUCAUAUGUUCCUUUCUUCCGUGGAAGAGGUAAAUGUGCCGUUCUGGCAUGUUGCCCUAUGGAAGAUCAUGAUGCAUGAGUGUAUGACUUGGUGUCUUGUGCUUCAAUCGCAGGACUGUCAGCAACUGGAGAACAAAGGCACCCAAGUGCUAGUUCUUAAGCAAUAUUCUUCAAGAGAAUGUUCUGUGGGAAAACUGCAUCUCAAAUCUCAAUGUUGCUGAGCAAUGUAGAUAUGACACAGCUCUGGUGAGUUUGUUCCUUGAACUAUGAUCUUAGAUAAGGCACAUUCUUCUAGAUUUGCCAUUGCACCCCAAACCUUUUAUGUUCUUUUUGCAUCUCUAUGACAGAAUCUAUCAAAUAGCAGGGAUUAGUUUAUUUACUCGAUGUUCACUUCCUUGGUGCAUAUUUUUUUAGGUAAAAGUAGAAUGCAUUACUUUCUUUUCUUGAGAAAAUUCACUGCUUUAGUGUUCAAUGAAAGUGAGGAAGGGAAAAGUGGGAGGUGGACAAAUCUGUCUUCUUCAUCCAAAGGGACUUUUCUUAGAUAGUUUUGAGUCAUAGUUUACCAGUUUAACUAAAAAUUCUGCUGGAAAACCCUCUGCUUCUGAAACAUGCAUGCACGUUUGUCAUUCCACAUAGUUUAAAGCUAAUUAUCGAUACCACUUUAGUUAAAAUAGUUAUGAUUCUCAACAAAGUUGUGAAGAAUCCACACCAUGCCUAUAGAAUUUCAUUUCAUUAUUUCUAAUCUCAAGUCUCAUAAGCCAUAUCCCAUUUAGCAAUUAUGUCUUGGUCUUUUGGAUGGCCAGUGUUUUCAUGCCUGAUGAAGCUGUCCAAGAAGAUGCCCACCUCAUUAAGGUAACAACUAUUUCAAUAACAUCUCCAACCUUCCAAGUAAAAAGGUUAUUUGCAUGACUUGAACACUGAUCGACCAUGUCGUAACAGGGUAAUUUUACCCUCCCACCAAAUGUCAUCUCCUCCCAACCUUAUCAAGUUGCCUUCCCUAAUUAGGAUCCUUUGUCCUAUGUUUGCCAGGCUCAUCCAUCCUUUAUCCUAUGUAUUCACCUGGUGCACAUGAAGAACUCAUUAGUUAACAGCUAAACUUGAAGAUCAGCUUGUAAGUUGUACCUUACGAGUAGACAAGGCAUGACAACAACCUUUCAUCACCUCAUCCAGCCACAGAGACUGCAUGCUCAACAACAAUGGUUGGACCUCCUUUCGAUGGAUGGUUUCCUAGUGUGAGGAGAAGAACAAUCCUGAACCUUUGAGGGAGAGAGUCAGUCUUAUGGUUGGACAAUCAAGUCAAAUGACAAAAAAGAAAAGGCAACCAAUAUAAAAUUCUGGCUCAUUUUAUAGUAUAAUUCUGAGUCGAGAGUAGAAAAAAAUUCUGACUUGGAUAUAUGUAAUGGUCAAGCAUCUCCUAGUGGAAGGCAAUUUCACUAAGAUUAUAGGAGUUGGACAAGUUCAGCCGAUGAGAGAGUUAAUGGCCUAUUAAAGUAUCAGGAGCCAUUAGAAUACGAUAACUUCUGAAUAGAGGCAUUCACAGCAUUUAAUAGGUGCAAUAAUGACUAACCAAACCUUGCAUCCAAAUAUUCUGAAGCUUCCAAUAAUAAUUUAAACCAAAUGUUAAAUCAAAGACCAUAAGGACGUGCAGCAUAAAAACAGCAGACUGGCUUGGCUUUGUCUCUCUUGACUUGAUGGUUGGUGGCGGCUUCAACCGAAGAAUGAGACCUUUGUAGUAGGUGCACAUGCAUUUAAUGUUUGGAUUACAGCUAGGACAAAAACAAAGCUGUAAGCUUGCGGAGAGAGUUCUUUUGGGUUUUUCUUUUGACUCGACCUUCCAACUAAAUGUUCACUGCAGUCGUAGCAAGUCGAAUGUUAGGAUGGGUUAAAUACCUUUCAAGUGUCCUUUGAUCCGGUUUAGAACAUGUUUAGAUUAACAAGUAGACAAUAUUUUUCCACUGUGUAUAGAAAGCAAAAACGAAUCAUAAUGAUCAGUAUCUUUUAACCCAUCCUAACAUCCCUUGUCAUGACAAUAAACUUUCUUUUUCUCUGUCCCUCUCUUUUAUAGUGGGGAAGUUUUGGAUCCAUCUAUCCUUUGUGUUUUCUUCUGCACGUAUAAAAGACAUGAGCGUUGUUUCCUCGAAGUGUAUGUAUGAAUGAGCCAAGUCAAUCAUUUAUUUUCUAGAUUCGGUUGAGCAGUUCUUCUCUUAUACGUGACAAAUCUAAGUUCUGUUGUUUUGACAUUAUAUAUUGCAGCAACAACAGGCAGCUUCCUCUCACACCACGUCCUUCACAAAUCCACCGUCCCCUCAGAACCAUUCCAUCGAACAUGUGGCCUGCAACAGAGUAUGACGCCACGCACCCUCCUCGCAUCCUCCUCUGUAUUCCCGUGCCGCCCUUCCAUUGGUUGUAGGCCGUGGGCUCGCCAUGGUUUAACUCCGUGGGGCCUGCGAAAUUGUUUAGUCGCUGGGUCGAGGCAUGGCCGCAUGGGAGCCUCGUCCCUCCGGUUUUAACUGAUCUACCUACUUCUUUAUACUGGUCGGUGCC
rnacentral:lncRNA from 1 species